rnacentral:lncRNA from 1 species
GCAUCAUCAUAAAGAUUUUGUAUUAGUGAAAGAUCAAGGUUUUCAGACAAUAAUAAAUACUAAAAAUCUAUAUCAACAAAACAAAACCUGAGGAAUACAUCAAAAAGACAGAAAUUUAAAAGUACAAAUAAUGAAUAGAUAUCCAUAUCUAUUGUAAUAUCUUGAUAUUGAAACAUUGUGAAAUAUUAACAUGUUUGGUCAUAAUAAUGUUCUUAAUUGAAGUUUGAUAUGUCUGAACUUGAAGAUCUGAUGCUGUUUAAAAAGAUGUGAUGUUUUCACUUGAUCAGUCUGAUAAUCGAGAAACUGAUAUGUGAUUAAUGGCUUGGAAUUUUUUUCUAUUCACAUAAAUUUUAAAUACUAAGAAAUUAUGGUUUCAGAAUGUCUUUUCAGUAUUAUCAUUUAUUUGACGAUUCAAUAGGAUAUGGUUUUAUAAUUUUUAUCAGAGAUAAUAAACCCACAACAUUAAAAAUGCAUGAAAGGUUGAUUUAAUGCAUUCAGUGGGAUGUGACCAAUGUAUAUGGCAUUAUUGAACAAUCAUACAUAUAAUAUGUCAUUUAUCCUUUUUAUCAGUACUGGAAUAAACACAAAAUAUCAACAUAGAAUUUGAAAAUAGCCUAUUCAUGCUUCACAUCAGCUCUUAUUCCUUGAUUCUAGGUAUUUUGGAUAUCCUCUACAUGCUUCUUGCAUCAUUGUCAAAAAGGAUGGCACACCAGUCU